rnacentral:rRNA from 1 species
UCUAUGGAGAGUUUGAUCCUGGCUCAGGACGAACGCUGGCGGCGUGCCUAAUACAUGCAAGUCGAGCGGAUCGAAAAGAAGCUUGCUUCUAUUCGGUUAGCGGCGGACGGGUGAGUAACACGUGGGCAACCUGCCCGUAAGACCGGGAUAACUUCGGGAAACCGGAGCUAAUACCGGAUAACACCGAAGACCGCAUGGUCUUUGGUUGAAAGGCGGCUUAGGCUGUCACUUACGGAUGGGCCCGCGGCGCAUUAGCUAGUUGGUGAGGUAACGGCUCACCAAGGCGACGAUGCGUAGCCGACCUGAGAGGGUGAUCGGCCACACUGGG